UCUAUACAUGACUCUGCGCAUAUCAAUAAGCGGAGGAAAAGAAACUAACAAGGAUUCCCCUAGUAACGGCGAGUGAAGCGGGAAGAGCUCAAAUUUGAAAUCUUAAAGGGUUUCCCUUUACGAAUUGUAGUUUAAAGAAGUGUUUUCUGUUGAGGUUUUGGUAAAAGUUCUUUGGAAUAGGACAUCAUAGAGGGUGAGAAUCCCGUAUUUGACCUUUACUUUCAACUUUGUGAUACACUUUCAAAGAGUCGGAUUGUUUGGGAAUGCAGUCCAAAAUGGGUGGUAAAUUUCAUCUAAAGCUAAAUAUUGGCGAGAGACCGAUAGCGAACAAGUACCGUGAGGGAAAGAUGAAAAGAACUUUGAAAAGAGAGUUAAACAGUACGUGAAAUUGUCAAAAGGGAAGCGUUUGACACCAGUGUUGUUUUUCUGAAAAUCAAUUAAAGAACUGUUUAUGCUAAGCUGUUUAGACUUUAUCAGCUAUCUGUUUAGUUUUGAGCUUUUCUUUAAUGCACUUUUCAGUUAACAAGUCAACAUCAAUUUCUUUUGCUGUAAAAAAGCUUGAGGAAGGUGGCUUGAGAUUCGUCUUAAGUGUUUAUAGCCUCUUGCCUAUGCAGUCGGAGAGAUUGAGGUCUGCAGCGUAGAUCCUUCGGGGCUAAAUGCAUUUGUGCUAAGUUAUAGCAUUUUAUAGACAACUUGUUGACUAUGAUUUGUCUUGUAGCUUACUCGCUUAUGUUAUUUUACCUACGCUUAGGAUGUUGAUCUACAGAGCGAGAGU
rnacentral:rRNA from 1 species